rnacentral:piRNA from 1 species
UCCUAUUGAUGACUGUUCUAUUUCCUAG